rnacentral:rRNA from 1 species
UACGUAGGGGGCAAGCGUUGUCCGGAUUUAUUGGGCGUAAAGAGCGUGUAGGCGGUUUGGUAGGUCCGCAGUGAAAACUCGAGGCUCAACCUCGAGACGCCGGUGGAAACCAUCAGACUAGAGUCCGGAAGAGGAGAGUGGAAUUCCUGGUGUAGCGGUGAAAUGCGCAGAUAUCAGGAGGAACACCGAUGGCGAAGGCAGGUCUCUGGGCCACUACUGACGCUGAGAAGCGAAAGCAUGGGGAGCGAACAGG